rnacentral:rRNA from 1 species
GCGCGUAGGCGGUUUGUACAGUCAGAUGUGAAAUUCCUGGGCUCAACCCGGAAACUGCUUUACAUACUGCAAGACUGGAGUGAUGAAGAGGUUUGUGGAAUUCCUGGUGUAACGGUGAAAUGUGUUGAUAUCAGGAGGAACACCCAUGGCGAAGGCAGCAAACUGGUCAUCAACUGACGCUGAGGCGCGAAAGCGUGGGUAGCAAACAGGAUUAGAUACCCUGGUAGUCCACGCCCUAAACGAUGGAUACUAGGCGUAAGAGGUAUCGACCCCUCUUGUGCCGCAGCUAACGCAUUAAGUAUCCCGCCUGGGGACUACGGCCGCAAGGUUGAAACUCAAAUGAAUUGACGGGGACCCGCACAAGCGGUGGAGCAUGUGGAUUAAUUCGAUACUAACCGAAGAACCUUACCCAGACUUGACAUCGAUCGCAAAGCGUAGAAAUACGCUCCUCUCCCACAAGGAGACGUGAAGACACUUGUUGCAUGGCUGUCGUCAGCUCGUGCCGUGAGGUGUACGGUUAAGUCCGCCAACGAGCGCAACCCUCGUCCUGUGUU